UACUGCAUCAGGAACUGAUUGGAUAAGAAUCUGUCACCAUCAGUUCCUAAUGCAUUGCC
rnacentral:pre_miRNA from 1 species